UGUCUACAAAUGUAUAAUGCCGCUUAUCCUGGCAAAUGGGAUGACUUGCAUUGUGUGCACACAUUACAUUUUGUUUGUCAAAGAGUUGCUGUGAAAUGCAAUGUUUCGGCACCAGUUUCUGGCAGCGUGAACGUUACCUCCAUCCACAUUGGUGAAAGUGUGCAGUAUCAAUGCAAUACUGGGUAUGAACUGGUGGGCCCAGCAACCGCUCAAUGCACUGCUCAAGUAGCGCUAACUGAAAUGCCUAUUUGUCGAGGAGCUGAAAGCUAUUCCAAUCGAGUGCGCUGCGAAAAUGUGACCCUUUACUAUCGACAAGGAUAUGGAGCACUCGUGAAUUCCUCUGAAGCCCGUAAGAUGUGCCAGUCAUCGGGAAUGGACCUGCCCACAAUUCGGCAAUAUAAUGGGAAUCUUCUUACCGGCCAUUGCCUAUACGACAUAC